rnacentral:misc_RNA from 1 species
AAGUCGUAACAAGGUAACCGUAGGUGAACCUGCGGUUGGAUCAUUAUAAAAUGAUUACCUGGCUCUGUUGUUGGACUUUGUUCACCAGAGCCGGGUAUAAACAACCUGUGCACUGUAAUUGUUUCUUGGGUGUUACUUUAGCUAUUGCCGGUGCUUUGUGAUCGCAUUUCCUUAAUUGGGUGCCUUUGCGUUAAUGGCUGGUAGUAGUUGAAGUUUCGCCCAGCUUAAAACCUUUUUAAAUUUGGCUGAGAAGUAAAUUGUUAAUAGCAAACAACUUUUGACAACGGAUCUCUUGGCUCUC